GACGAACGCUGGCGGCGUGCUUAACACAUGCAAGUCGAACGGAAAGGCCCUGCUUUUGUGGGGUGCUCGAGUGGCGAACGGGUGAGUAACACGUGAGUAACCUGCCCUUGACUUUGGGAUAACUUCAGGAAACUGGGGCUAAUACCGGAUAGGAGCUCCUGCUGCAUGGUGGGGGUUGGAAAGUUUCGGCGGUUGGGGAUGUACUCGCGGCUUAUCAGCUUGUUGGUGGGGUAGUGGCUUACCAAGGCUUUGACGGGUAGCCGGCCUGAGAGGGUGACCGGCCACAUUGGGACUGAGAUACGGCCCAGACUCCUACGGGAGGCAGCAGUGGGGAGUAUUGCACAAUGGGCGGAAGCCUGAUGCAGCAACGCCGCGUGCGGGAUGACGGCAUUCGGGUUGUAAUCCGCUUUCGCCUGUGACGAAGCGUGAGUGACGGUAAUGGGUAAAGAAGCACCGGCUAACUACGUG
rnacentral:rRNA from 1 species